rnacentral:tRNA from 1 species
GGAGGGAUGGCAGAGCGGACGAAUGCGACGGUCUUGAAAACCGUUGGGUGAUGAGCCCCGGGGGUUCGAAUCCCCCUCCCUCCG